AGAGUUUGAUCCUGGCUCAGGAUGAACGCUAGCUACAGGCUUAACACAUGCAAGUCGAGGGGAAACGACAUCGAAAGCUUGCUUUUGAUGGGCGUCGACCGGCGCACGGGUGAGUAACGCGUAUCCAACCUGCCCAUCACUUGGGGAUAACCUUGCGAAAGUAAGACUAAUACCCAAUGAUAUCUCUAGAAGGCAUCUGAAAGAGAUUAAAGAUUUAUCGGUGAUGGAUGGGGAUGCGUCUGAUUAGCUUGUUGGCGGGGUAACGGCCACCAAAGCAACGAUCAGUAGGGGUUCUGAGAGGAGGUCCCCCANAUUGGAACUGAGACACGGUCAAACUCCUACGGGAGCA
rnacentral:rRNA from 1 species